UUCGUACUAAUCUCUGUGCAUUUGUCGCCUCUGAACCAUCUCUUUCCAAUAAUCUAAUCGUCCCUUUUUUCACUUCUCGUCAUUCUCGAAUCUCAAUAAACGGUCAAAUUCUGACUGUAAUUCUCUCAAAAAAUCCCCUAAAGCUUUCACUAAUCAAUCCCUAUAACCCCAUAAAAGAUGUCUCCCAAAUUCUCCUUUUCUUUCAUUGUAUUGUCUCUAAUCUCCGUCCUAUGUGCAGCCCGAGACAGCGGUGGAGGGGCGACGGUGGAGUUGUGGUGUGUGGCAAAGAACAACGCUGAGGAUGCUGUUCUACAGUCCGCUAUAGAUUGGGCUUGUGGUCCCGGCGGUGCUACUUGUGGGCCUAUUCAGACCGGUGGGCCGUGCUACGACGCUUCCGAUAUCCUGCGAACGGCGUCGUUUGCCUUCAAUGAUUACUUCCUUAAACAUGGAAUGACUGAUGAUAGCUGUAAUUUCGCCAACUCUGCUGCUCUAACUUCUCUAAACCCCAGUCAUAAUGGUUGUAAAUUUCCAUCGAGCUUGAGUAGGAGUAGUGGAAACUUUAAUGGAUCAAUAACUACGGGGUUGGGUUCAGCUUCUGAAGAUAUAAGUAGCAGCACUUGUACAAUCAGCAGUUCGAUUUUCAUCUUUAUGGCUAUUAAUCUGCUGUCUGCAACUCUGCUAAUUUUGUGAGGUCAUACGAAUUUUUACUCCAUUUUAUGUACUGUAGAGUAUAAACAAGUUUUUUUGUAGAGAAGUUCAAAAGCUCCAGGUAGCUGAUGUUGUUCCACAUGCUCUCCAGCAUUAAACAAUCGCACAUGUCUCUGGCUCCUCAUAAUCAGCUCCUGAAUCUGGACCCUCGUCAGGAUCUAUAUCCAUUCCAGGAACAUAAUGCAUUCUUAUUUUUAGGUACAUUGACAUUCGAUCACUUUCGUAGUUAUAGUUAUCAUUAAGCACUGAUAAUGCCAUUUGCAUCAUUGUUUGCUGAGAAUUAUGAAGUUGAUGGCUCCAUGUUUGCCAGUAAAAGAGACUAACUGGUGCAUUCGGGACAUAUCGUGGAUUUCCAUUAUUGUAGGAUGGAUGAUUAGGGCGUGACAUGUUUUGUUGGACUAAUGAUUGGUUGGUUUUUCUUGGUCUCAAUGUGGUAUUAGUGAAAUAGCAAAUUUGAUUCAAGGAAAAGAACCAGCAGCAGGUGGGAAAAGUAUACAAUAGAAUAGAGUGAUGAAUACAGAGGAUUUAGGAUUGAGGCUACUAUGUUUAUGUCUCUACCUUAGAUUAUAUAGAAUUGAAGAAGAUAUGCCCAAUUUGACUGGGAUUCGGAUGCGGGAUUUAUUGAAAGGUUA